GAGGAGGAUAAUAGAGCAGCAACCAGAGCUGACAAUUGGCCUGUAAAUGCAGCAAAGUUCUCCUAGAGGUGUGAUGUUGGUGGUGAUUUUCUUAUCCGGGGAUAUGGAUGUGGCGGGUCUGUGGGCACCAUGCUGACGCGGAGAAGGAGGUGCAGGUAGCGGGGCGCUUGAGGUGAGGUGGCUGCAGGGUCGCUCGAGAAGAACAGGCUCAUCAGCACCACCUGGAUGCCUUCGUCAUCAGCAAUGUGGACAAGGUAAAGUGGGAUGGUGGGAUUGUAUAGUGCUCAUAAGCCAGUCCGGGCAUUGUCCUUCCUCGAAUGAAUCUGAGACUACUCCUCAUAUGUUAAUCAGUUGCUCCUCCCUAGCUUUGGUUUGGUCUGAACUUCAAAGUUUUCAUCCACUCAAUGUUGAUUCAGUCAAAGAUCUCUUGGAAAAAUUAUUUCGACAAGAUUCACUCUAUAAUGUUGUUAUCAUUGUCCUCUGGAAUAUAUGGAAGCGCAAAAACUCCAAGGUCUCCCGGGAUGUUUUUGAGGAAUUGCACAUUACUGCUAGCAAGAUUGCUGAUGAUUGAUACCAUGGUCCAACAGUUCUCAGUUUUAUGAAGUGGUUCAGGCUGGCGUAAGCCGCCAUAGUCCCAGUAAAAAAAGGCUACAAGCUUCGCUUCGGCCUUUCGGAACUGAAUAUUAUGUAGUUUUAUUGAGAUUAUUGAUAGUGCUUCUCUACUAUCAAAGAAGGUAAUAGUCUCUUAUGUGUUUCUUUUUGUCCAUUUGAAUGCACUCCAUUUUUUAGUGUAUUAAUUAACAUCAAACCUCCCAUUCUUUCUAGAGUGCUGAUGUAUUAUUAUUUUCAGCUUAACACAUUUAACUUCCUAUAGAUUUCAUGGUUUAUGCAGAUUAACCGAGCUAAGAAUUUUUGUGAAGCUAAAGCUGGUGUUAAGAUGAACGCCGCUAUGUAUAUAUUUGAAACAGUUAGAUACAUGCUUGACAGACUAUAUAGGGGUGAUCAAAACCAUGCAAAGCAUUAUGGGACAAGUUUCUCUACCUUAAAUAAGUAUAUGAACUUCAAAUUAUCCUGCAAUGUAUUGACUGCUCGGAGCUAACUUGACUACGCCAGUUUUCUUUUAUGGCUCAAAGUAGUUAGUGUCCCCCCUUAUUAUGAGAGAGGUUCUAUGGCAGUGGAGUAAUGUUCGUAAAUUAUAUAUUGCUUUCAAGUUUGGAGCUGGAAUAAUAUAUGUGCUGCAUUUAGUUAUAGUCUUAUAGAUAUAGAUGAACAUCCA